rnacentral:rRNA from 1 species
GAUCAUGGCUCAGGACGAACGCUGGCGGCGCGCCUAACACAUGCAAGUCGAACGAGCGAGAGAGAGCUUGCUUUCUCAAGCGAGUGGCGAACGGGUGAGUAACGCGUGAGGAACCUGCCUCAAAGAGAGGGACAACAGUUGGAAACGACUGCUAAUACCGCAUAAGCCCACGGCUCGGCAUCAGGCAGAGGGAAAAGGAGCAAUCCGCUUUGAGAUGGCCUCGCGUCCGA